rnacentral:rRNA from 1 species
AUUGAACGCUGGCGGCAGGCCUAACACAUGCAAGUCGAGCGGAUGAAGGGAGCUUGCUCCUGGAUUCAGCGGCGGACGGGUGAGUAAUGCCUAGGAAUCUGCCUGGUAGUGGGGGAUAACGUCCGGAAACGGGCGCUAAUACCGCAUACGUCCUGAGGGAGAAAGUGGGGGAUCUUCGGACCUCACGCCAUCAGAUGAGCCUAGGUCGGAUUAGCUAGUUGGUGGGGUAAAGGCCUACCAAGGCGACGAUCCGUAACUGGUCUGAGAGGAUGAUCAGUCACACUGGAACUGAGACACGGUCCAGACUACUACGGGAGGCAGCAGUGGGGAAUAUUGGACAAUGGGCGAAAGCCUGAUCCAGCCAUGCCGCGUGUGUGAAGAAGGUCUUCGGAGUGUAAAGCACUUUAAGUUGGGAGGAAGGGCAGUAAGUUAAUACCUUGCUGUUUUGACGUUACCAACAGAAUAAGCACCGGCUAACUUCGUG